rnacentral:rRNA from 1 species
GAUGAACGCUAGCGGCAGGCCUAACACAUGCAAGUCGAGGGGUAGGAAGAGCUUGCUUUUCUGAGACCGGCGCACGGGUGCGUAACGCGUAUACAAUCUACCUUGUACAGAGGGAUAGCCCAGAGAAAUUUGGAUUAAUACUUCAUGGUGUAAUGAAUUGGCAUCACUUUAUUACUAAAGAUUUAUCGGUACAAGAUGAGUAUGCGUCCCAUUAGUUAGAUGGUAAGGUAACGGCUUACCAUGACUAUGAUGGGUAGGGGUCCUGAGAGGGAGAUCCCCCACACUGGUACUGAGACACGGACCAGACUCCUACGGGAGGCAGCAGUGAGGAAUAUUGGACAAUGGGCGGAAGCCUGAUCCAGCCAUGCCGCGUGCAGGAUGACGGUCCUAUGGAUUGUAAACUGCUUUUGUACAGGAAGAAAUCCUUCUUUGCGAAGAAGAUUGACGGUACUGUAAGAAUAAGGAUCGGCUAACUCCGUG